CAGACUUUUUGAAAUUAAACAAAGUUACCUGUCGUGUUUUAUGUCAAUUGUUGCAUUAAUGAAAAAUAAUAAUAAAUGAAAUAAUAAGCUGGAUAAUACCCGGCCUGGACGGAAUACAAGGCCCGUUGAACAUCAUAUGAGAUCUACCGCUGAAACGGCUUAUGACUUAUUUUUCGACGUUGAAAUAGAUACUGGGAAAUAUAUUGGGUAGAAAAAAAAAUCCUAAAGGUUAGUGGGGGCGAGGGGUAUGUGGGGGUGUUUUCGGAGGCGGUAAAGGUGUGUAUAAAACUAGACAAAAAAAUUAUCAUCGUAUCUUAAAUAGUUACCGAGAUAUUAAUUUAUGCCAAAUAAUCAGAUCAAAUUCCCCAUAGUGCAGAGGUAUAUGGAAAUAACUUCAAAGGGAAAAAAGGCACUAUCAAAACAAGCAGUACGCAAAAUUGUUAGAAUUACUUCGAAUUUGACUAGCUCAGCUGCUAAGAUCAAUGAAUUGGCCGGAGUAAUCGCAAGCCUUUCAACUAUUCAGCGUUCGACUAGAAAUGCAGAACACCUGAAGGAUCUAAAAAUCAAGAAAAAUACCCCUUUGAAUGCAAUACGCAAGGAAAAGCGGCUUUAAUGCGCAUCUCAACGUAAUUGGAUGUUUGGUGCGGGCUAACGCAAUACGAAGAUAAGGAAACAUUAGCUGCAGUUGUUAAACUUGUUUGCAGCGGGAUUUUCUUGAGCUACAUAGAUUACUUGUACCAGUCUAUGAAGGACCGGAUUUAUGAAGUUAUUACUAACAAAGAAGGCAGUACUCUUUACUGAAAUUGUUUUUUUCUUAUUUCAAAUACUUUUCUUAUAAAAUUUAAAAAGCAAAAGUGCGUAUAUUCUAAUGACCAAGAAUACUGCGCCUUAUUUUGAGUAGUUUUAAGAAAAUGUCUAAAAAACACAUUUUUGUUAAAUAUGUAUAAUAAUUUGAAUAUUAUACAUAAUAAAAGUAUCAUUAAAUAAGAAA